GAUGAACGCUGGCGGCGUGCCUAAUACAUGCAAGUCGAGCGAACGGACGAGAAGCUUGCUUCUCUGAUGUUAGCGGCGGACGGGUGAGUAACACGUGGAUACCCUACCUAUAAGACUGGGAUAACUUCGGGAAACCGUAGCUAAUACCGGAUAAUAUUUUGAACCGCAUGGUUCAAAAGUGAAAGACGGUCUUGCUGUCACUUAUAGAUGGAUCCGCGCUGCAUUAGCUAGUUGGUAAGGUAACGGCUUACCAAGGCAACGAUGCAUAGCCGACCUGAGAGGCUGAUCAGCCACACUGGAACUGAGACACGGUCCAGACUCCUACGGGAGGCAGCAGUAGGGAAUCUUCCGCAAUGGGCGAAAGCCUGACGGAGCAACGCCGCGUGAGUGAUGAAGGUCUUCGGAUCGUAAAACUCUGUUAGUAGGGAAGAACAUAUGUGUAAGUAACUGUGCACAUCUUGACGGUACCUAAUCAGAAAGCCACGGCUAACUACGUG
rnacentral:rRNA from 1 species